UGGGGAACUUUGGACAAUGGGCGAAAGCCUGAUCCAGCAAUGCCGCGUGUGUGAAGAAGGCCUUCGGGUUGUAAAGCACUUUUGUCCGGAAAGAAAUCCUUGGCUCUAAUACAGUCGGGGGAUGACGGUACCGGAAGAAUAAGCACCGGCUAACUACGUGCCAGCAGCCGCGGUAAUACGUAGGGUGCAAGCGUUAAUCGGAAUUACUGGGCGUAAAGCGUGCGCAGGCGGUUUGCUAAGACCGAUGUGAAAAUCCCCGGGCUCAACCUGGGAACUGCAUUGGUGACUGGCAGGCUAGAGUAUGGCAGAGGGGGGUAGAAUUCCACGUGUAGCAGUGAAAUGCGUAGAGAUGUGGAGGAAUACCGAUGGCGAAGGCAGCCCCCGGCAAUACUGACGCUCAUGCACGAAAAGCGUGGGGAGCAAAACAGGAUUAGAUACCCUGGUAGUCCACGCCCUAAAACGAUGUCAACUAGUUGUUGGGGAUUCAUUUCCUUAGUAACGUAGCUAACGCGUGAAGUUGACCGCCUGGGGAGUACGGUCGCAAGAUUAAAAACUCAAAGGAAUUGACGGGGUCAUAGCUGUUUCCU
rnacentral:rRNA from 1 species